rnacentral:tRNA from 1 species
GCUGCAGUAGCUCAGUAGGUAGAGCGCAACAUUGGUAGUGUUGAGGUCACGGGUUCGAUUCCCGUCUGUAGCU